rnacentral:SRP_RNA from 1 species
UCGUGCUAGAUGGGGAGCUAGCGGUGCCCUGUACCCGCAACCCGCUAUAGCGGGGUCGAAUCCCCUCUCCCGGUCGGGCCUGUCAGGACUGCUGCCGUCAAGCGGCAUUGAAGAUUGGGUCCUGCGCGGCAGAAGCAUGCCCAACCCCGCCAGGUUCGGAAGAAAGCAACGGUCAGCAUCUCCUUCUGGGUGCCGCAGGGCUGCCUGGUCGGAGCUGGCUGACGACGGCAAGCUGGGAGGUCUGGGUCAAAAGAGGGUGCACGA